rnacentral:tRNA from 1 species
AAGAGAGUUGGCAGAAAGAUCAAUGCAUUUAAUUUGAGAUUAAACUUUUAAGGGUUUAAAUCCCUUACUCUCUUU